GACGAACGCUGGCGGCGUGCUUAACACAUGCAAGUCGAACGGUGAAGCGCCUUCCUUUUUGGUGGGUGUGGAUGAGUGGCGAACGGGUGAGUAACACGUGAGUAACCUGCCCCUUCUUCUGGAUAACCGCAUGUAAGGGUGGCUCAUACUGGGUAUUCCUGGUGCGUCGCAUGAUUGGGCUGGGUAAGGUGUUGGUUCGGGGGGGGGUGGGCUCUCGGCCUAUUAGCUUGUUGGUGGGGUGACGGCCUUCCAAGGCGGUGACGGGUAGCCGGCCUGAGAGGGUGGACGGUCACACUGGGACUGCGACACGGCCGGGACUCCUACGGGAGGCAGCAGUGGGGAAUAGUGCACAGUGGGGGAAAGUCUGAUGCAGCGACGCGGCGUGAGGGAUGGAGGCCUUCGGGUUGUGAACCUCUUUCGCCAGUGAAGCAGGCCUGCCUCGUAUGUGGGUGGGUUGACGGUAGCUGGAUAAGAAGCGCCGGCUAACUACGUG
rnacentral:rRNA from 1 species